UACAGAGGUCUCAAGCGUUGUUCGGAUUCAUUGGGCGUAAAGGGUGCGUAGGCGGCGCGGUAAGUCGGGUGUGAAAUCUUGGAGCUUAACUCCGAAACUGCAUUCGAUACUGCCGUGCUUGAGGACUGGAGAGGAGACUGGAAUUUACGGUGUAGCGGUGAAAUGCGUAGAUAUCCGGAGGAACACCAGUGGCGAAGGCGACUUCCUGGCCUGUUCUUGACGCUGAGGCGGCGAAAAGCU
rnacentral:rRNA from 1 species